UGGCCAUACAUCAUACAGAUCUUGUGAAUACCUCCCGGAAUAGACAAUUGUUUCACAGCAAUUCACUCUCCUUGGAGAAAACAGCUGGAUACAAGGAGGGAAGAUAAACACCCUUGUCUUUACUUCUUAACAAAAUACAUCAACCUUGUCCAAGAAGUGUUGCCUAUAGGCAUGAAAGAUGUGGCACAAAGCAUCUAUUCAAUCUUUGUCUCUUCUGAAAUCACCGUUCUGUGCAAAUUUAUAGUAUGAAGAUGGUUUUUCAGGAAGAAGCAACUUAGUGUCACAUCAGCUGAUGAAAUUAAGUUUGUUAUUCCCUGCCCAAAUCUUCCAUCUGGUAGCAAAAGCUCUACAGGGCUGGCAUUUAUCAAGAGAAGACACACAGAACAGCCUUGCAUAAAUAAUGGCACCGGUCCAAGUACAGCUGAGGUGGUUGCCAGCACAACUCCACUGAAGUCAAAGGAAUUGCACCAUGACAAGUAGCCAUAUAGAUCUUUCUCAGGACCAUCAGAACUUGAAGAAAUAAGUGCCCAGAAAAACUGAAAAAAAAAAACAACCACACAGUAGCGAUCAAAUGUGAAGGAUCCCAAUGGUGAGUUUUCUUUAAAAGUAUCU
rnacentral:lncRNA from 1 species